UACGUAGGCAGCGAGCGUUGUUCGGAGUUACUGGGCGUAAAGCGUGCGUAGGCGGUCUUGUAAGUCUGGUGUGAAAUCUCCCGGCUCAACUGGGAGGGUGCGCCGGAAACUGCAAGGCUGGAGUAUGGGAGAGGUAGGCGGAAUUCCUGGUGUAGCGGUGAAAUGCGUAGAUAUCAGGAGGAACACCUGUGGUGUAGACGGCUUACUGGACCGAGAUUGACGCUGAGGCGCGAAAGCCAGGGGAGCAAACGGG
rnacentral:rRNA from 1 species